AUUCCAGCUCCAAUAGCGUAUAUUAAAGUUGUUGCAGUUAAAAAGCUCGUAGUUGGAUUUGUGGUGCUGCUUGCAGUCCAAUUAGCUUUGGUGCUAGCGGGUGGUGCCAUCUUUGGAUGGAACCUGUGGGGCAUUAGCUUGUUUUGCAGGGGAAAUUCAUCGUUUACUGUGAAAAAAUUAGAGUGUUCAAAGCAGGCUUACGCCGUUGAAUAUACUAGCAUGGAAUAAUGAAAUAGGACUUUGGUACUAUUUUGUUGGUUUGCGCGCCAAAGUAAUGAUUAAUAGGGACAGUUGGGGGUAUUCGUAUUCCAUAGUCAGAGGUGAAAUUCUUGGAUUUUUGGAAGACGAACUACUGCGAAAGCAUUUACCAAGGAUGUUUUC
rnacentral:rRNA from 1 species